CCGGGACUGUGAGGGGACAACCAGGAUCCUGGGAGAUGUAAGAGCAACCCACUUCCCUCAAGGAGCCCACAGACUUGUGGGGAAGACCAAGAGACACGGCCUUGAGGCUAUACAACACACAAGAAGCCCUUCCUGUCAAAGUGAGGCGCACAAGAAGCCAUCAACACGGUCGGCUUUUGAACUCUGAGGUAUUCAACCAGCUAUUUCCUAUUAUAAAGUUGAGCCAACA